rnacentral:lncRNA from 1 species
UGGUACAACAAGCUAUAGGUCUGUAAUCUUUUACAGUAGCUGCAGUUUUGCUUUUAGGUAUUAAAGUUUUAGCAGUGGUAUACAACAUAGGAGGCAUUGUGCACUUGUCGAAGAAAUCCUUGACAGCAGCAAAGAUAUCUUCCUUGAUUGUAUCCCAAUUCCUGUCAGAAAACUCCACUGGAAAUCCAUCUACUCUAGGUGCCUUAUCCUUUGGCAUUUCCUUAAUUGCUGCAGUGACUUCCUCCAUAGUAGCUUCCUGAAUCAGCAGUGUUUGUUGACGUUGCUGCAGUGAAUUCCUCCAUAGUAACUUCCUGAAUCAGCUGUGUUUGUUGACUCAUUGAUAAGCAUUUCCCUUGUCUAAUUAUAGCAGUAUUAGCAAGAAGUAUCUCCCUUUCACAUUCUCCCAUCAAUGGCUGGAAAACAGUGAUGAACUCCUGUUCUACAUCUUCUGGUUGUGUUAACUUUACUCCUGUAAGCGUUGGAAGUUUUGAUUUUCCAUUGGGCAUGAAAGUACUUUGUAUUUUCAUCACCACAGGUGAUCCAAGUUGCUUUGGAUUUCUGCCUCAACACCUGUUCCUCCACAGCACUCCAUUUUUUCAAUUUCCUGUAGAGUUGUUUUUUCUUCAGCAAAUAAAACCUGUGAUAGAAGGUUAGUCUGCAGCUGAUUCUGUAUGAUGUCCAGGUGUUCUCUGGCCUGCACAAGUCUCUUUUUGUAAGUGGCCAUAUAGGCAUUUAAUUCUUUAAGAUGCUCUUUUAGACACUUAAGCUUCCUCCAAACCUGCUGCAUAGGAGUCCC